rnacentral:rRNA from 1 species
AGUGAACGCUGGCGGUAGGCCUAACACAUGCAAGUCGAACGGCAGCACAGUAAGAGCUUGCUCUUACGGGUGGCGAGUGGCGGACGGGUGAGGAAUACAUCGGAAUCUACUUUUUCGUGGGGGAUAACGUAGGGAAACUUACGCUAAUACCGCAUACGACCUACGGGUGAAAGCAGGGGAUCUUCGGACCUUGCGCGAUUGAAUGAGCCGAUGUCGGAUUAGCUAGUUGGCAGGGUAAAGGCCCACCAAGGCGACGAUCCGUAGCUGGUCUGAGAGGAUGAUCGGCCACACUGGAACUGAGACACGGUCCAGACUCCUACGGGAGGCAGCAGUGGGGAAUAUUGGACAAAGGGCGCAAGCCUGAUCCAGCCAUACCGCGUGGGUGAAGAAGGCCUUCGGGUUGUAAAGCCCUUUUGUUGGGAAAGAAAAGCAGCAGGUUAAUACCCCGCUGUUCUGACGGUACCCAAAGAAUAAGCACCGGCUAACUUCGUG